GAUGAACGCUAGCUACAGGCUUAACACAUGCAAGUCGAGGGGUAGCAGGGUAGCAAUACCGCUGACGACCGGCGCACGGGUGAGUAACACGUAUCCAACCUUCCCAUAACUCUGGGAUAGCCUUUCGAAAGAAAGAUUAAUACCGGAUGGUACUUUUUCAAGGCAUCUUGAGAGAGUUAAAGAUUUAUUGGUUAUGGAUGGGGAUGCGUUCCAUUAGAUAGUUGGUGAGGUAACGGCUCACCAAGUCUUCGAUGGAUAGGGGUUCUGAGAGGAAGGUCCCCCACAUUGGUACUGAGACACGGACCAAACUCCUACGGGAGGCAGCAGUGAGGAAUAUUGGUCAAUGGGCGAGAGCCUGAACCAGCCAAGUAGCGUGAAGGAUGAGGGUCCUAUGGAUUGUAAACUUCUUUUAUAGUAGAAUAAAGUGACCCACGUGUGGGUUUUUGUAUGUAUACUAUGAAUAAGGAUCGGCUAACUCCGUGCCAGCCGCCGCAGUAACAC
rnacentral:rRNA from 1 species